UGUCCACUGCUAUUGUAACCUGCCAAAGUGUAAACAAAACAUUCAUUCGGGUAGGGUAGGGUUAAAAUUGUAAACGAAACACUAAUCUAACUAACGAGAGCUUAAAAAAAUUGCUGCGAACAAUAAUAAAUAGAAGAGGGUAUAAAAACUUACAAGACAAUUUUGAACCCUUGAAUGCUAUAAGUAACGAAAAGAAAUAAUGGAGGUAAAAAUUAAUAUUUCAAAGGAAAUUCGGAAAUAACCUUUUCGACGGUCAACAUUUAGAUUGAGGAGAAGGUUUUUGACAUUCACUAUCGAUGCCAUUUCAACUGGUAAGCGCUAAAAACAAGGGUUUACGCAAAAUUCUUUUUGUACCUGUGAUAAAUAUUGUAUUUCUAUUGUAAUAGCCAAUUUUUUCAUCCUAUGUAUCAUGGAAAUGUCCGGCGUAAUAAACUUACAACCGCGCUGUUCCUAAUUUUGUUUCAUUGCUACAAAAAUUAAUCAAAGAAAAAAAAUAAACAUCCCCAAGCUUCGUAAAUUUAGAUUUAUCGUUUC